UUUUUUUAACCACGGCCCUCUGGCUCGUAAAAGGAGAAAUAGCAUUCUGCCACCCGGCCUUCUCGAAAUCUCCUGUUGAGAGUUUACACAUUGUCAUGCUCUUUAGGCCCUUUUUUAAAUGGCUAAAAUAUUUCCAGAUUGCCGUCUCGGUUGCCGUGCGACUGCGGUGGAACUCCAUUCUGUCAGCAACGCUUGGCGCAGGAGGGUCCGGGUUCUGGUGCGGUGCCAGAGACCAUAGCGGCAAUGGCAUUCCCACUGACACGGCAUCUACGACACAGCCGGACCCCAUACCUGAUAAUUACCAGCCAUGAUGCGCACAAAGACCUUGCACAUUCAGGAAGCUUAAGGACUAUUUAUGGGCAUUCAUGCAUGUGUAAUAGCAUGGAAGAAAAACAAAGAAUAAACCGUGAUCUGCGAGGAAGAGGGGAAAGAAAGAUUCCUAUUCACAAUAUGACAAGUGUGUUUUGAAUUACAUCAAAAUGUGUUGCUCCCCUGGAAUUUCUCUGUUAGCACCAAAGAAUUCGAACACUAUACCUUUUCUCUGUUCCAGUGACAUAUUGAAACAAAACUUCCAUUGAUCCCAGUAAGACUCGGUCACUGAUCAGCGCCGUGUACGUUGUCAAAGUGGCAUUGGACAGUCAGAUGCCAUUGUUUUCUCCUAUUUUGUUCAAAAACAAAGAUGUCGGCAGAGAGACAGAAAGAGAAGGACGGAGAAAGAGAGACAGAGAGAGAGAGAGAGAAAGAAAAAACUUUAAGUGCCGGUUUCACAUUCAUCAGCUUGUCCGGCCCAUUGUGACAUAAGCAUGGUCAGCAAUGUUCAAAAUUGCUAUUUGUCAAAUUCUAAGACAGCUAUCUCAUUCAAAUCACAGAUCAACAGGCCGACCACUAAUUGCUGCAUGUGACUGAAAGAGAAUUAAGGAUGGUCAGCUAUGGUACACAGUGAAAUCGAACCCUUUUGUUGAUAUUAACUGUUUAGUUGAGUGAACAUGGCUAGUGGCCAAUAAAACUACAACUAACUGUACUCUAAGGUUACCAUGACAUUAUGAAAAAAAAAAAACAGACAAAAAAUUAUGUUGGCUCUGACCCAGUUCACAAGUAUGUAAACACUGGAUUUAUUUUCAGAGUGGAUCGACGGUCACAGAGAUGUACAAGAAAGUGUUCUAUAUAAUGUAAGCCUACAUUUCAAAUAUUUGCUCGCCUAGCCAAAAAUGGAGAAAUGGCGGAUGUUGCUAUAGAUGAAGGAUGCAUAUCUGUUAGCACUCAUCAUUCAGUCCAAAUAUAGGUCGCGGCUAAAGACAGUUGGACUUCCCUCCUCUGGUUUACGACCUCAUUUUUUUUUGUUUAUGGCUUAAAUUGAAAGGCGGCCCAGGAGGGUGGGGGUUUUCAGAAUUAAAGUAAAUCAAAAGACAAA